rnacentral:lncRNA from 1 species
CGCCGUCGAGCCAAAACGUUUCCUUGGCGGACUGAAAGAAUAGAUGGCGGAAAUCCGCCAUCUAAAGGCCGCCAUACAAGGUCCUUUUUUUUGUAGUGAUCAAGGAAACUCUUAAGAACCUCUCUAAGCUUUAAGGCUAUUUCGCUUAGGAACCAGUCUUUAAUGGGUAGACUCACACCUUAAAGUAUCAAGGGCACUCUUAAGAACCUCUAACCUUUGCGGGUAAGUUAGUACCUUAGAGUAUCAAGGAACUCUUAAAAACCUCUCUAAGCUUUAAGGCUAACUUCGCUUAGGAACCAGUCUUUUACNN